GGGGCUGUAGCUCAGUGGCAGAGCGCUUGCCUAGCAUGCAUGAGGCCCUGGGUUCGAUCCUCAGCACCACA
rnacentral:tRNA from 1 species